UGACAGGGAAGCUUCCUCCCAGACGGCUGGUUUUCACAAUGCUGGAAGGUUCUAUACAGGCUGCUAGGGGAGCAGCUAGCAACAGUCUUGAUCCAGCUGUGAAUCCUGCAAGGAACAAUAAGGAUUGACCUGGGUCAGCAAGAUUGUUCAUCAGGUAAAGGUUCAGGUGCAGGUGCUUGCUUGCUACAUGGGCCUGAUGCCUGGAGUUUAGUCCCUGGAGCUCAUGUCAAGGACGUGACAGAUGCUCCUCCGAGAUCCAUGACUCCACUGGUGCUGCGUAUGUGACCAGGUCUCUGACAGUCCUGUACCUGACAUACUUCUCUCUUCCUGAGUGUAUCUGAAGCCCAUCAGAGAGCUGCUGGUUAUGCCAGAGUACAUGUACCACUACUGCAUCCCCGGGUGGCCGUGAUGUACUGGUCAUUGCUGUGGUUCAUGGGCAUCUUAACUGGG